rnacentral:rRNA from 1 species
UACGGAGGAGGCAAGCGUUAUCCGGAAUUAUUGGGCGUAAAGCGUCCGUAGGUGGGUUAUCAAGCCUGCUGUCAAAGCGUGGGGCUUAACCUCAUAAGGGCAGUGGAAACUGGUAGUCUAGAGUGCGACAGGGGCAAGGGGAAUUCCUAGUGUAGCGGUGAAAUGCGUAGAGAUUAGGAAGAACACCGGUGGCGAAAGCGCCUUGCUGGGUCUGCACUGACACUGAGGAGCGAAAGCAUGGGGAGCGAACAGG